AUUCACUACUGGGACAGCGUGCCAGUUAAAGGUGGGAGGAACUGCAAAGUGUUGGUGGUUUAUUCCAACACACUGCCAGGGUCUGAGCAGAGCCAGACCAAGGACGAGUCUCUCCCCAGCCACACCCCCAUGUCUGACCACGCCCCCUUUAUUCAUCCACUUCCUGAUCCUCCCCUCCGUCAGUCAUUAAACAAUAAAUCUCGUCUGUGCCUUCCCCUUGUACCUCAAGCUGCUGACUAGACAGUUUUAUUGACGUUCUGAAGUUCGAUCAUGGCUGCGGCGGCUGUGGAGGCUCUGUCCUUCAGCCUGCUCCCAGAGCGCUGCACAGCUGUGGGUGUCGAUCGUGACAGGUCACAUAAUUAGAGCAGCGCUGUGUCUGUCUGAGACUGUGGCAGGGAGCCGCUGGACACAUGAGGCUCAGCCAGGCCUCUGGACCCGUGGAGGCAGCCAUGCAUGCAAGUGUGUGGGACUGUUGUUAGUCGAACAGAGGGAGAAGUAAAGAAGUAAAGAAGCCUCGAGGAGUGAAGUACAAUCCGUAACGAAAGACGAGCAGCCUGAGGGUGCGAGGAGUGGCCACGAAGACUCCCUUUCUUCUCCUGUGCUUUUGUUUUUUUGAAUUAUUAAAUCAUACAAAUGCACGAACACCUGGGACAGACUGCGAAAGCACCCCCUUCAAAACCUUGCUGUUUAGAAGAACAUGCGGAUAUGAAAGGAUUCUUGUAUAGUCUGUGACGGGGAUUAAAUACAGCCCACACUCUUGUACAAGGAUCAGGCUCCCUCUUUAUUCCUUUCUGUUUAAGGUUCACGUGUGGUGUCUUAUCGCUCCUCACCCCCCUGUUCCUCGUCACAUGAGGCUUAGAGGAGCCUCCAAGUGACUAAAGGAGGGCUGCCUUUCGCUUCCUUUGGGAACACAGCAGCCAUGCCAACGAGUCCUAGAAAUACACUCCUGGAAAGGUUUCUGAUCGACACGUACGCGUGUCCUGCAAAUCUGUGGGUUCAAGGGAAGUUUGACAGCUGUACAUUGUGAGUUUUGUUUUGCCGCUCAAUCAGUCAGAGCCGCUCGCUGCAUCGUCCUCAUGCGCCAUCAGAUAAAAGACAGGAAAGGUAGAACCACUUGCUUUAAAUCCUUUUUGAAGUAAAGUCAGAACCAAAAGAGAGAAAAAAAAUGUUCUAUGUGCAGAGAUGGGUAGGAGGGAAGAAAGGAGCGUUGAGGCAGUGGUAUCAUCUGGUGAACCUGUGGGAGAUGGAAAAUCAAGAAGUGUAGGGUGAAAGAGGAGAGGAAAGAGAGAGAGGCAGGGGGAAGGAAGACACAGAUGCAGAAAGGGUUUUGGGAUGGGAAUGCACUUGGGGAGUUGAAAAAGCACACCACCUUUGCAUUUAAAAACACGCCAUAACUUUGCGAUAUGAAAGGCAGAAGGAGGAAGGCAGGACAAAAGAAUAUUCACAAUGCCUCUGCAAGGAAAAAAGAGAGAGAGGGGGGAGAGAGAGAGAGGCGGCGUUUCUUCUGCUUCCGCGCCUUUCUGCCUGGGUAGAGUCUCUCCAGGUUGAUCACGAUUUACCGUCUGAAGAUGCAUUGGCAGUUGUUGACAGAGACAGAGUUUGUGAUGGUAGUCACAGUUAUUCCGUAGAGAUAGAUGGAGGGGCGAUGAGGGGGAGUCGACUCCCCUCUCUUGUUUUCUUGCUGACUCUCUUAAAUGUGUUUACUCUUUCAACGCUGACAUCCAGAGGUACGCAGCGCGGAAACUUUCUUGCCGGCUGAAAUUUAACACAGCUUUUGGUGCAUUAACUUGCGUUUUUUUAACCUCGAGUGGCUCCGGCAUUAAUUUGGUGACAUGCUGUAUGCAGACAUAUUUGGAGAGCUGUAUAAGCAGUGGCAUCCUGUACAAAGGCCAUGACUCAUGCUGUAGGAAGAUGAUUAAGAUGACAUUAGAAAAAAGGAAUUCAAUUAAAUCCAUCUUUUUAGCAGAAGCAUGUAGACCAUAUAUUGUACCCUCCAUCCCAGGAAUCUCAGAGUUUUGCUUUAGGUGGAAUUGAAGGGAUCCUCUUGUAGGGGACCCAGCUCCCCUGGGGCCGGCCAGGCACUGGUGGCGACGCUGGAGAGACUGUGAUCAUGCCCAAGUUUCGUCUGAAGCGUCUGAGCAAUGAUCGCAGGGAAACUUCAAGUGAUGGAGCCGCAAGAGCACAGAGUGGAGAUGACAGAGGAGAGAAAAAAAAAGAAAAAAACCAACUGAUUCUCAUCAAAACAGAUUGUCAAACCAGAUGGGGACUGUUCGAGAACUGGGGCAGCGUAGACGGGGAGGGAGCCUGAAUGGGCAGAUCUCAACACAAACCAGACACGAGCCUCAGAACAAAGUGGGCUUUUCAAGUGUCUUGCUGCUUUGCUGUCAUGUCAUUCUAAAUGCUUCUAAAUAAUUCUGAAUUAAGUUUGUCUAUUCAGUUAACUUAUUAUUAAACUGUUCAAAAAGGA